GCGAGCGGCGGAUGGGUGAGUAACACGUGGGGAACCUGCCCCUAAGUCUGGGAUACCAUUUGGAAACAGGUGCUAAUACCGGAUAAUAAAGCAGAUCGCAUGAUCAGCUUUUGAAAGGCGGCGUAAGCUGUCGCUAAGGGAUGGCCCCGCGGUGCAUUAGCUAGUUGGUAAGGUAACGGCUUACCAAGGCGACGAUGCAUAGCCGAGUUGAGAGACUGAUCGGCCACAUUGGGACUGAGACACGGCCCAAACUCCUACGGGAGGCAGCAGUAGGGAAUCUUCCACAAUGGACGCAAGUCUGAUGGAGCAACGCCGCGUGAGUGAAGAAGGUUUUCGGAUCGUAAAGCUCUGUUGUUGGUGAAGAAGGAUAGAGGUAGUAACUGGCCUUUAUUUGACGGUAAUCAACCAGAAAGUCACGGCUAACUACGUGCCAGCAGCCGCGGUAAUACGUAGGUGGCAAGCGUUGUCCGGAUUUAUUGGGCGUAAAGCGAGCGCAGGCGGAAAAAUAAGUCUAAUGUGAAAGCCCUCGGCUUAACCGAGGAACUGCAUCGGAAACUGUUUUUCUUGA
rnacentral:rRNA from 1 species